AUUUAAGGUUUAAUCUGCUCAAUGAUUAUUUAAAUUGCCGCAGUAUUUUGACUGUGCAAAGGUAGCAUAAUAAUUAGUUUCUUUAUUGGGAACUGGAAUGAAUGAUUGGACGAGAAAAUUUCUGUCUCUUUAUUAUUUUAAUUGAAUUUUACUUUUAAGUUAAAAGGCUUAAAUUUUAUUAGAGGACGAGAAGACCCUAUAGAGUUUAAUUUUUAUUUAAAUAAUUAUUUUUAGUAUUUAUAUAUAUAUUAUUUAAAUAAAAAUUUAGUUGGGGUGACUAAAAGAUAAGAAUAACUCUUUUAAUUUUUAUCAAUUAUUUUUGAUUAUAAAAUCUUUAUUUUUAAUUUUAAAAUAAAUUACCUUAGGGAUAACAGCGUAAUUCUUUUUUAAAGUUCUUAUUAAAAGAAGAGUUUGCGACCUCGAUGUUGGAUUAAAAUUAAUUUUAGGUGUAGAAGCUUGAAAAUUAAGUCUGUUCGACUUUUAAAAUUUUACAUGAUCUGAGUUUAAACCGGUGUGAGCCAGGUUGGUUUCUAU
rnacentral:rRNA from 1 species